GUGUACAACGACCCCUUCACGUCAACCUGAAGACAUUCUGAUAUUAGCCGGGAGCCGCGCAAAAGGGCAAAUUGUAUCAGAAGCGAAUACGAGUCGCAAAGUGAGAAGUGACAGCCGGGCCAAAUUGCAGACGACAACAUGCUUUUAGCGACUUGUGGGCCUUAGAUAGCGGUACAAUAGGAUCACCACUUCAAACUAAUUUAAAAUAUAAGAGACUAGCGAUCAUUACAGAAAAACGAAAGGAAAAAAUCUGCAAUUUCUGAAGUUUACAAUCUGAGAUACAUUCAAACCCAAAGUGAACGCCUUCCAGCCGUUGGUAUACAGGCUUCUUUUGCCAAUUCUUCAAUAUUACUAAUUAUGUAAGCGUGUAAUAUGCAUAUAUAUAAAUAAAACAUAUGUAGAUAUAAAAACAGCGUUACUACGAGUUUCUUGGUUAACGAUAACAUAAUAUACGUAUAGUCACUAUGAUCAUUUCCGAGCCAUUGUAUUGUAACUCAUACUUCUUGAGAAACGAGAGGGAAGUCCUUGUGUGUAUUUUUAUAGUUCAGUCCAUAAUUAAGUAGAUAUUUUGCUUAAUCGGAAUGUUACAUAGGCAUUUUUUUUUUACUCCAACUAUGUUCUUUCAACGCAUUGCACUAUUCAUUGUACUCAAACUUUCUAUGCUUCCUCAUUUCAUUCCCCACUUUUCACGAAUGAAAGUGAACAUUUCAUAUUCAAGCAGUUGUUCAACAUUAUUCAUUUCCACAAGUCAUAUCACGCACUGUUCUAUAACAUAAACCAAUUUUUUUUUAUUUUAAACAGAGUUCAAUUUUAACAAUGAAAAUUCAAAUUCUGUUUUUGUUACUGGUCAAUGUUAUGCUAAUGAAAUGUGAAGAUAUGAUUCUUGGCGAUGUGUCUGAAAACAGAGUUGUUGUGCAUCACACAUCUGCCCAAUAUCCAGGGAUUAAUAAUCUAAGGAGACUGAGAUACGUCGUCUGGACCAGUUUGGAUCUUAAGCCUAUAUCUGGUAUUGCAGCAAUAGACAAAAUGAAAUCCAUGGCCCAUGCAAACGUCCUCGCUGGUGGGAUCGGGUUUGGUUUCGUUACCAUCAAACUGAAAAGUGAAAGAUCCAAGGGUCUCGAUUAUGAUAUUAAGAUUUAUUCAUAAAACUACGAAAUUUGAAUAAAUAAUUUUAGUUUUUGAAAUUAAACAACUGCGUGAAAUUCUAAGUGCUCUGGAUCUUACUUGAUGCAACAAAUUUCGAUGGCUAUUCAGCUCGGUAAUGCUGCCAGUGUUAUGGGGACGUUUGAGCCAGCUAAGAUUCGGGGCGGUCCUGUUUCAUUCUUAUAGUUAAAUAUAAAUGACUAAGUCUAGCGAAUUAAAUUAUUAAUUUCUUUGUGAUGAAGCCUGUUGCUGAUUUAUAUUUGUGUCUUCCCGACAAAGCCUACAGUGCGGUUUGACAUAAUC